rnacentral:rRNA from 1 species
GCAAACAGGAUUAGAUACCCUGGUAGUCCACGCCGUAAACGAUGAGUGCUAAGUGUUGGAGGGUUUCCGCCCUUCAGUGCUGCAGCAAACGCAUUAAGCACUCCGCCUGGGGAGUACGACCGCAAGGUUGAAACUCAAAGGAAUUGACGGGGGCCCGCACAAGCGGUGGAGCAUGUGGUUUAAUUCGAAGCAACGCGAAGAACCUUACCAGGUCUUGACAUCCUUUGACCACUCUAGAGAUAGAGCUUUCCCUUCGGGGACAAAGUGACAGGUGGUGCAUGGUUGUCGUCAGCUCGUGUCGUGAGAUGUUGGGUUAAGUCCCGCAACGAGCGCAACCCUUAUUGUUAGUUGCCAUCAUUUAGUUGGGCACUCUAGCGAGACUGCCGGUGACAAACCGGAGGAAGGUGGGGAUGACGUCAAAUCAUCAUGCCCCUUAUGACCUGGGCUACACACGUGCUACAAUGGGAAGUACAACGAGUCGCUAGACCGCGAGGUCAUGCAAAUCUCUUAAAGCUUCUCUCAGUUCGGAUUGCAGGCUGCAACUCGCCUGCAUGAAGCCGGAAUCGCUAGUAAUCGCGGAUCAGCACGCCGCGGUGAAUACGUUCCCGGGCCUUGUACACACCGCCCGUCACACCACGAGAGUUUGUAACACCCGAAGUCGGUGAGGUAACCUUUUUGGAGCCAGCCGCCUAAGGUGGGAUAGAUGAUUGGGGUGAAGUCGAAACACAAGUUAACCCAU